ACGCUGGCGGCGUGCCUAAUACAUGCAAGUCGAACGGUCUUUCUAUGGAAGCUUGCUUCCACUGAGAAGAUAGUGGCGGACGGGUGAGUAACACGUGGGUAACCUGCCCAUAAGAGGGGGAUAACAUCCGGAAACGGGUGCUAAUACCGCAUAGUUUUCUUGAUCGCAUGAUCGAGAAAGGAAAGACGGCCUUUGUGCUGUCGCUUAUGGAUGGACCCGCGGCGUAUUAGUUAGUUGGUGAGGUAAUGGCUCACCAAGACGAUGAUACGUAGCCGACCUGAGAGGGUGAUCGGCCACAUUGGGACUGAGACACGGCCCAAACUCCUACGGGAGGCAGCAGUAGGGAAUCUUCCGCAAUGGACGAAAGUCUGACGGAGCAACGCCGCGUGAGUGAAGAAGGUUUUCGGAAUCGUAAAACUCUGUUGUCAGAGAAGAACAAGUUGGAGAGUAACUGCUCCAGCCUUGACGGUAUCUGACCAGAAAGCCACGGCUAACUACGUGCCAGCAGCUGC
rnacentral:rRNA from 1 species